rnacentral:tRNA from 1 species
AGCUCAGUGGUAGAGCUUCCGCCUUGUACGCGGGGAGACCUGAGUUCGAUUCCUGG